rnacentral:lncRNA from 1 species
CAGGAAUCUACCCUCUUUCAUGUCCCCAUCUUUCUCCUGGUCCUUCCCCUGUCCAGGGGGGCUUCAGUAAAGCCCCCAGAAAUGGCCCAUCCAUCCACCUGCUCAUCCUUCCAUCCCUCCACCCAUCCCUCUACCCAUCCAUCAGCCAUCUAUCCUUCUGCCAUCUAUCCACCCAUCCCUCCAUCCAUCCACCCAUCCCUCCAUCCAUCCACCAUCCCUCCAUCCAUUCACCAUCUAUCCAUCCACCCACCAUCCCUCCAUCCACCCACCCAGCCAUCCAUCCAUCCUCCAUCCAUCCACCCAUCCAUCCAUCCAUCUGCCCAUCUAUCCAUCCACCCACCCACCACCCACCCACCCAUCCCUCCAUCCAUCCACCAUCCAUCCAUCUACCAUCCAUCCAUCUGCCAUCUACCCACCCAUCCAUCCAUAUAUCUACCCAUCCAUCCACCCACCCACCAACCCAUCCAUCCAUCCAUCCAUCCAUCUACCAUCCAUCCAUUCAUCCAUCCAUCUACCCACCCACCAACCCAUUCAUCCACCAUCCAUCCAUCCACGUAUCCAUCCAUCUAACAUCCAUCCAUCCACGUAUCCAUCCAUCCACCAUCCAUCCAUCCACGUAUCCAUCCAUCUAACAUCCAUCCAUCUAACAUCCAUCCAUCCACCCACCUAUCUAUCCAUCCACCAUCCAUCCAUCUGCCAUCCACCCACCAUCCAUCCAUCCAUCCAUCCACUCACCACCCAUCCAUCCUUCCAUCCACCCACCUACACAACCAUUGAUCCUGAUAGAUUCAGACAACUUUGGAAUCAGGAAAGUCCUUGGGUACAAUCUGGCGCAUUCUUUCGCUUUACCAAUUAUAAAGUGGAAACCCAGAGAGUUAAAUUGCUCAAGGUCAUACAGCAAGUUCAUGGAUUGACUCCACAAAUAAUCAUGGAGCACUUGUUAAGUGCAGGAUUCCUGUCCCACCCGCACCUGUGUACUGUGAC